GCUGAGGUAGUCCUCUAAAAAUCGAACUUAACCUAAAAAUGACAAAAAUUUCUAUUUAUACUAAGCUAAAAAUAUCUCACAGAAAUGCCAUUGCUAAGGUAGUGCGGCCGCAUAAUUCUUGUGCGGCCACAUAAUUCUUGUGCGAUCCGCACAAUGAGCUUCUGCAGUUGCACGAUAUUGUGGUCCGAAUUCUUUGGAACUGGGUUUGGAACUUCGAGGCUUCUUCAGUCCAUAUAAAAAUCGAUGCUGCCGCACUUUUGAUUAUGCGGCCGCACAGGUUUUGGACUUGAAACGGCUCUCUGAUUUUUCAGUCCUGUAGACCGCUCAAUAAUGAAUGCGGUGUCACAAUUUCGAUGCGGUCCGCAUGCCUUUAGCUGGCCCAACGACUACUCUCUGAAUUUGUCCUCUACAGCUGCACUAGAAUUGUGCGGUCCACAAUGCUGUCCCUUUUUUCCUUGUUUUGGUUCUUGUUCAGUCUUGACUCAUUUAUGAGUUAAUUUUAACUUCCUUUGGCUCAUUUCCCAAUGUUCUUGCAAGUAAACACAUUAUGUUAGUUUUCGAGAAUACCUUUAAGCAUUUUUUUAGCUGAAACGCAAGUAAAAGAGAGGAAAUAAGCGGUUAAAGUCUCUACUUAUCACCAUGUCAACCUGAAUAACCACCCUGAUAACUUUGGACCAGAGGUACACUGAUCAAGACUGGAGGUGCAUUAUAGGUUAACUGCUUAAUAUGAGAACCAUAAGAACCACGACUACCCGAAGCAUCAUCGGAUACCUAAAGUGUUGACUGAAUCAAUUUGGGAGGGAGGCCUCUACAAAAGAAACCCCUACCUCCAAGUGAGGCACGCUAAAGCCACAAAAAUAACAAGGCCUCUUCUCAGAUAAUGGUUCCCUACCCUGUCCAAGAAUCAUCUCGAUCCGCCUAGCAAUCUCUAUUAUUCAGUGGAAAGAAAUAUCAUCCAUACUCUCCUUGGCCAUUUGUAUCCUGAUACCAAAAGUAAGACCAUCAAUAAAUCUCCUUACUCUCUCCCUUUCAGUAGGAAUCAAUAAAGCUUCAUGGCGAACUAAAUCCAAAAAUCUAGUCUCAUACAAGGUAACAAUCAUACUACCCUAGUGAAGGUGCUCAAACUACUUGUGGUACUCCUCUAAUAGAGUAAAAGGAAUGAACUUCUCCAAAAAUAACUUUGAGAGAUGAUCCCAAGUGAAUGGUGGUGAUACUGAUAGUAUAGCUCGAUCAUAGUCCUGCCACCACCUCUUAGUGGAGCCAUGAAUCUAAAAUUCCAUGAAGUUAACUCCACUGGACUCCACUAUGCCCAUGUUGCACAACACCUCACGGAAAUGAUCAAUGAAAUCAUGUGGGUCCUUAGAAGGUAUGCCACCAAAGAUAUUAGAAAAUAACUUUAUGAACAUAUCCAACAUCAUGAAUCCCUCAAAAGACAUUGCCAGUCUCUCCCCGAUCUGUAUAGCAAUAAUAUGCUAUGCUAGUCCAACUAUCGGAACACCAGAGUCUGGUAUCCGUGAGCCACCUACUUUGGUGUGUGAGUAACGGGAGUCUGGCAUCCUCCCCUAGCCCGAGAGAUGGUUGGUGCCACCAAAAUGCAUCGGAAUGGCCACGCUCUCCAUAAGGCUUACCAAAUAGACUAGAGCAUCUUGAAAUACCGAAAUAAUAAUAAUAAACCCAUUUGGGACCUAAGCUGGUCCAAUUGGCAUGGUCUAAAUAGGAACCUCCUACUCCUGCUCAAUCUGAAGCUCCAAAAUAGGUGUUGUUGCACGUUUUGUAGGCUAUGAUCUGCCUAUGUCUCUAGCUCGACCUCGG
rnacentral:lncRNA from 1 species